AUUGAGCGCUGGCGGCAGGCUUAACACAUGCAAGUCGAGCGGAGUGAUGGUGCUUGCACUAUCACUUAGCGGCGGACGGGUGAGUAAUGCUUAGGAAUCUGCCAUUUAGUGGGGGACAACAUUCCGAAAGGAAUGCUAAUACCGCAUACGUCCUACGGGAGAAAGCAGGGGAUCUUCGGACCUUGCGCUAAAUGAUGAGCCUAAGUCGGAUUAGCUAGUUGGUGGGGUAAAGGCCUACCAAGGCGACGAUCUGUAGCGGGUCUGAGAGGAUGAUCCGCCACACUGGGACUGAAACACGGCCCAGACUCCUACGGGAGGCAGCAGUGGGGAAUAUUGGACAAUGGGCGGAAGCCUGAUCCAGCCAUGCCGCGUGUGUGAAGAAGGCCUUUUGGUUGUAAAGCACCUUAAGCGAGGAGGAGGCUACCUGGAUUAAUACUCUAGGAUAGUGGACGUUACUCGCAGAAUAAGCACCGGCUAACUCUGUGCCAGCCGCCGCCGUAACAC
rnacentral:rRNA from 1 species